AAAUGACCUUUUAUAAACCACAUCAAAAAGAUGAUACACCCUUUGUAAGCCCUAAAAACUGAAGUUUUACAGAUCUCCCACAGUUGAUGGGUUAUGUUUGGGGUUUUUUGAGUCUUUGAUUUCUGAGAUAAUGUCUCACUCUAGCCCAGGCUGACCUCAAAUGCUCAGCAGUCCCCUUGCUUUAGACUCCUGAGUACAGGUGUGAGAGGCAUGAGCCAUCACACACAGCUCAGAUACAAUCAAUGCAUUGAGAAUUUUGUAUAUAGAGAGAGAAAAUAUAAAUUUUUGAGAUAUACAUUGAGAUAUACAUUGAGAUUUUUAUAUAUCUUAAUAUAUAGAUCUUUUUAAUCUAUAAAAUAUAUUUUAUUUGUUUAUUUAUUUGGUUUUUCAAGACAGGAUUUCUCUAUAUAGCUCUGGCUGUCCUGGGACUGCCACCACCACUGCCCAUCAUGAAUAAAAUAUUUUACUAACAGCUGUUCAUCAGACAUGCACACAGAGAGGUAAAACUUAACACUGAACACAGCCUGCCAGGUCUUUAGACUUCCUCCUGCCUACUUCAGCCAAAGAAGUUCUGCUUUUGUCUCUUUUACAUACUGAGUUUCCUCUUUUUUAAGCUUUUAUCCGAAAACAAUCUGCUCUUCAUACUUAGAGCCCUUGGAUUUCUCAGUUCUCUUCAGACCAUUUUAACUAAUUAUCUCAAUUGUUUAAAAAAUCACCCAACUUUGAAAUACAGCUUUCUGCUUUUCCCAUCUUACCUUCUGACUAAGGAAUUAAAAAUAUUUAUGGUGGGAGUUGUUUCAAGAUGGUUUCUCUGUAUAACCCUGGCUGCUCUGGAAUUUGCUCUGUAGACCAGGUUGGCCUCAAACUCUUGAGAUCUGCCUGCCUCUGCUUCCCAAGUGCUGGGAUUAAAGGUGUGCACCAGUACACGUGGCUAUUGUACUGAUUUUAUUUAUCAUUUCCUCCAUUUUCUUCUUAUAUAGUUCAUAGAAUUUUUAUAUAUUCUCCAAAAUUAUGUCUGCUUAUAUUUAGGUUGUUUUUAGCUUAAAAAAAAAAAGAAGAAAAGAAAAGAAAGGAAGAUACAUAGAUAGGUAGGUAGGUAGGUAGGUAGGUAGGUAGGUAGGUAGAUAGAUAGGUAGAUAGAUAGAUAGAUAGAUAGAUAAUUGUGCUCUGUAUAAUCCUCUAAGACUUGAACUUCUUCAAUUCUAAUAUUAAUCCAACUGUUGAAUGACUGUAGCUCAUUCAUUGUGAAUUCUAUAUAAAAUUCCAUCAUGAGAAUGUGCUAUAGUUAGUUUUUUUUAACUACUGUCACAUUCUCAUACAUGUACCCUGAAGUGUUCACAGAGUCUCUUAGAGUUAUAAACCUAUAAUUUGGAGUUGCUGGGUCAUAGUGCAUAUCAGUUUCCAGUUAUAAGAGAUGAUAACAAAAUGUUUUAUAAAAGAUAUAUCUAUACCCACUACCUACCCAGCGGCACUUUCUCUAUCACUUGAUAGACUUGUUUGGCUUUGCCUAUCAAGUGACGUUAUAAAUAAUAUUUCAAAUGAUCUGGGUUUUUUUUCCCUGCUUCUUAGUAAAGUGGAAUAUCUGUCCAUAUUUUAAUUACCAUAUAAAUCCACUUAAGUGAAAAUAUAUUCAUGUGUUUUCCCCAUAGUUUUUUUUAACUUAUUGUAUAUAAAUGACCAUUUUGCUCACAUGUAUGUCUGUGCACCACAUGUGUGUCUGAUGCACAUGGACGUAGGGUUACCAAGUUGUAAGCUGCCAUGUAGGUGUCGGGAAUUGAACCUGGAUCCAAGAACAAGCGCUCUGACAGCAAGUGUUCGUUUCUCCGACCCUCUGUCAUGCUUUGAUUGGGUUGCUUUUGCUUUGCUCAUUGAUUGAAAAGAAAACUGUGUGAUUCUGUAGUACUAAGUUGCACCUCUGAGACAUCACUGAAUGUAAAUAGGACUUUUUGAAGGUACCAUUGUCUUGUUUCUGAUUUAAAGAGAGUGCGUAUGUAGGAUAAUACAAGUUUUUAAUAUUCUUUGUCAGGUUAAGAAAGUUCUUUGCUGAUAUGUUUUUGGAGAAUUAAUGUUGAAUAUAUUCAAGCUUUUUCUUCAUCUAUGAAGAAGAUAAUGUGAUGCUUUAAAAUUCUUCUAAUCUAGUAUGAUUCAUUAUAUUCAACUUAGAUGAAUAAAUUUUAUUGGCACAUUUUUAAUGCAACCUAUUUACUAUGCCAACAUUUUACAUAGAAAUUCCACAUCUCAUUGCAAAUGUUAAAUAUGUUUUAAGUGUUCAGUAAAAAUGUUCAGUAGAAAACAUUUCAUGUCUAUAUUCGCAUCUGAGAUGAGCCUGUAUUUUUAUUUUCUCAUAUUAUUAGUUUUGAUUUUUUGGUAUCUAUGUUCUCUUGGCUUUUUAAAAUGGAUUGGAGCUCGCAGUGUUUGAUUUUAUGUUACGUGACCAGACCUCAGUGCCAAGACAAUGAAUCCGACAUUAUUCAGGGUGUUUCUAGAUGCUUGGCACAUCAUUGUAGGUAAUGUUGAGACUGGUGGGCCUGUGUUAAAGCAAGUUAGACUGUAGUGUGAGUGGGCCUCCUCGUCCAUUGGUUGAAGGCCUAAUGGAAUAAAGAUGUCACCCAAAUAAGGAUUUCUUUCAGAAGAAAUGAGACUGUAACUCUUUGCUGUUACUCUGGCCUGUCUGCUAAUGCUGUGGGUUUUAAACAUCCACCUUCACAAUCCUCUAGGCCAGUUGCUACUUUAAUUCCCCCUCCCCUCAUUCUCUGUCUAUCUACCUACGCACAGAGUGCAUGCACAUGAUAGCAUGUUGUACUGUUUCACUGAAGAACCCUAAUUCAGAGCAUUCCCCACUUAUUGAGGAGUUUUGUAUAAUUCUUUGUUAGCUGGUGUGCCAUUCAUUUCUGCUUCUUUUAUUGUGCUUUACCUUGCUUUGAAUGUACUCUGCUCUUCUGUUUCUGACAUCAGAAGAUAAGCACACACUUGUUUCUUAAGCACACUGUCUACCUUUUUGUACCAUAUUAACAGGGCCACAUCAGCUUCCUUUUGACUGACCAUAUGCUAUUUCUUAAGCGUUUACUUCCAAACAGUUCAUCUUAUCCUGCUUUGGCUGUAACUUUUAGAGGAAAAAGUAACAAACUUUCAAAUGCAAAGAUGAUGAUCUUUUCUUGAAAUUUACCUUUGUUAGUGGUGCUGAUGCUGGUGGUGAUGGUGGUGGUGGUGCUGAUGGUGGUGGUGGUGAUGGUGGCUAAUUGGUUGGUUUUGUUUAGUUUUCAGGCCUUCUCCCCUGUGUAGUCCAGGCUGGCCUGGCACUCACAGGCCUCCUGUUUCUGCCUUCCCAGUGCUAUGAUUACAGGAAUGUACCACCUUACCUAAAUUUUUAACCAUUUUAGCCAUCCAAUUUUUUUAUUUGGUUGAGUCUUCCUGUUUCUUUUUCAUCUUCUUUUUUUAAGUUCUUUGUGUAUCUUUCCUUUUUAACCAAUAAGAAUCUUUGACAUAGUCUUUGUACUCCCUUCUUAAUCCCCAACAUGCUGAUUUGAGAUUACAGGAGCACACCAUCUCACCUGAUUUUACUACUUAUUAGCAAUUUGUAGCAUAAUAUACAAAAGUAGGCUGGAAAGUCAUAGUGCACGCCUUUAAUCCCAGCACUUGUGAGGCAGAGGAGGCGGCUCUCUUGAGUUUGAGACCAAACUUGUUUACAUAGCAAGCUCCAGGACAGCCAAAGCUACGCAGAGAAACCCUGUCUC
rnacentral:lncRNA from 1 species